rnacentral:rRNA from 1 species
GAUGAACGCUGGCGGCGUGCCUAAUACAUGCAAGUCGAGCGAACAGAUGAGGAGCUUGCUCCUCUGACGUUAGCGGCGGACGGGUGAGUAACACGUGGAUAACCUACCUAUAAGACUGGGAUAACUUCGGGAAACCGGAGCUAAUACCGGAUAAUAUCUUGAACCGCAUGGUUCAAUAGUGAAAGACGGUUUUGCUGUCACUUAUAGAUGGAUCCGCGCCGCAUUAGCUAGUUGGUAAGGUAACGGCUUACCAAGGCAACGAUGCGUAGCCGACCUGAGAGGGUGAUCGGCCACACUGGAACUGAGACACGGUCCAGACUACUACGGGAGGCAGCAGUAGGGAAUCUUCCGCAAUGGGCGAAAGCCUGACGGAGCAACGCCGCGUGAGUGAUGAAGGUCUUCGGAUCGUAAAACUCUGUUAUUAGGGAAGAACAAAUGUGUAAGUAACUGUGCACGUCUUGACGGUACCUAAUCAGAAAGCCACGGCUAACUACGUG